rnacentral:rRNA from 1 species
CCUACGGGGGGCUGCAGUGGGGAAUAUUGCACAAUGGGCGCAAGCCUGAUGCAGCCAUGCCGCGUGUGUGAAGAAGGCCUUCGGGUUGUAAAGCACUUUCAGCGGGGAGGAAGGCGUUAAGGUUAAUAACCUUGGCGAUUGACGUUACCCGCAGAAGAAGCACCGGCUAACUCCGUGCCAGCAGCCGCGGUAAUACGGAGGGUGCAAGCGUUAAUCGGAAUUACUGGGCGUAAAGCGCACGCAGGCGGUCUGUCAAGCCGGAUGUGAAAUCCCCGGGCUCAACCUGGGAACUGCAUUCGAAACUGGCAGGCUAGAGUCUUGUAGAGGGGGGUAGAAUUCCAGGUGUAGCGGUGAAAUGCGUAGAGAUCUGGAGGAAUACCGGUGGCGAAGGCGGCCCCCUGGACAAAGACUGACGCUCGGGUGCGAAAGCGUGGGGAGCAAACAGGAUUAGAUACCCGAGUAGUC